rnacentral:rRNA from 1 species
GACGAACGCUGGCGGCGUGCUUAACACAUGCAAGUCGAACGGAAAGGCCCUUUUCGGGGGUGCUCGAGUGGCGAACGGGUGAGUAACACGUGGGUGAUCUGCCCUCGCACUUCGGGAUAAGCUUGGGAAACUAGGGUCUAAUACCGGAUAGGACCAUGGGAUGCAUGUCUUGUGGUGGAAAGCUUUUUGUUGGUGUGGGAUGGGCCCGCGGCCUAUCAGCUUGUUGGUGGGGUGAUGGCCUACCAAGGCGACGACGGGUAGCCGGCCUGAGAGGGUGUCCGGCCACACUGGGACUGAGAUACGGCCCAGACUCCUACGGGAGGCAGCGAGUGGGGAAUAUUGCACAAUGGGCGUAAGCCUGAUGCAGCGGCGCCGC